rnacentral:rRNA from 1 species
UACGGAGGAGGCAAGCGUUAUCCGGAAUUAUUGGGCGUAAAGCGUCCGCAGGUGGCACUUCAAGUCUGUCGUCAAAGACUGGGGCUUAACCCUGGAAAGGCGGUGGAAACUGAAGCGCUAGAGUGCGGUAGGGGUAGAGGGAAUUCCCGGUGUAGCGGUGAAAUGCGUAGAGAUCGGCAGGAACACCCAGGGGGAAACCAGCCGCCUGGGCAUGCGCUGACGCUGAGGUGCGAGAGCGUGGGGAGCGAACCGG